GACAGAGGUGCCGAGCGUUAGGCGGAAUCACUGGGCUUAAAGCGUGUGUAGGCGGACCGUUAAGUACCUUGUGAAAUCCCACGGCUCACCCGUGGAACGGCUGGGUAGACUGGCGGUCUUGGGCCACCUAGGGGCAGAUGGAACAGACGGUGGAGCGGUGAAAUGCGUAGAUAUCGAGAGGAACACCUGCGGCGAAGGCGGGUUGCUGGGCUGACACUGACGCUGAUGCGCGAAAGCCAGGGGAGCGAACGGG
rnacentral:rRNA from 1 species